GACGAACGCUGGCGGCGUGCCUAACACAUGCAAGUCGAACGGAAAGGCCCUGCUCUUGUGCGUUGCUCGAGUGGCGCACGGGUGAGUAACACGUGAGUAACCUGCCCUUGACUUUGGGAUAACUUCAGGAAACUGGGGCUCAUACCGGAUAGGAGCUCCUGCUGCAUGGUGGGGGUUGGAAAGUUUCGGCGGUUCGGGAUGGACUCGCGGCUUAUCAGCUUGUUGGUGAGGUAGUGGCUUACCAAGGUUUCGACGGCUAGCCGGCCUGGGAGGGGUACCGGCGACAUUGGGACUGAGAUACGGCGCAGACGGGUACGGGAGGCAGUGGGGGGAAGUAUGGCGCAGUGGGCGGGAGCCUGAGACAGAGACGCCGCGUGCGGGAUGACGGCCUACGGGUUAAAAACCGCUUUCGCCUGUGACGAAGCGUGAGUGACGGUAAUGGGUAAAGAAGCACCGGCUAACUACGUG
rnacentral:rRNA from 1 species